GAUGAACGCUAGCGGCAGGCUUAACACAUGCAAGUCGAGGGGUAGAGGAAGCUUGCUUCCUUGAGACCGGCGCACGGGUGCGUAACGCGUAUACAAUCUACCUUUUACAGAGGGAUAGCCCCAGAGAAAUUUGGAUUAAUACCUCAUAGUAUUUUCGGAUCGCAUGAUUUGAUUAUUAAAGUUCCAACGGUAAAGAUGAGUAUGCGUCCCAUUAGCUAGAUGGUAAGGUAACGGCUUACCAUGGCAAUGAUGGGUAGGGGUCCUGAGAGGGAGAUCCCCCACACUGGUACUGAGACACGGACCAGACUCCUACGGGAGGCAGCAGUGAGGAAUAUUGGACAAUGGGCGCAAGCCUGAUCCAGCCAUGCCGCGUGCAGGAAUAAGGUCCUAUGGAUUGUAAACUGCUUUUAUACAGGAAGAAACACACCCUCGUGAGGGUACUUGACGGUACUGUAUGGAUAAGGACCGGCUAACUCCGUGCCAGCAGCCCGGUAAAGU
rnacentral:rRNA from 1 species